CUAAGGCUCCAGAGGAAGCCACGGCUAACUCUGUGCCAGCAGCCGCGGUAAUACAGAGGCGGCAAGCGUUGUUCGGAAUUAUUGGGCGUAAAGAGCACGUAGGCGGCCUUGCAAGUCAGUUGUGAAAGCCUUCCGCUUAACGGAAGAAUGCCAGCUGAUACCACAGGGCUUGAGUACGGGAGGGGAGAGUGGAACUUCUGGUGGAGCGGUGAAAUGCGUAGAUAUCAGAAGGAACGCCGGCGGCGAAAGCGACUCUCUGGCCCGAAACUGACGCUGAGUGUGCGAAAGCUAGGGGAGCAAACGGGAUUAGAUACCCCGGUAGUCCUAGCCGUAAA
rnacentral:rRNA from 1 species